rnacentral:rRNA from 1 species
UACGAAGGGGGCUAGCGUUGUUCGGAAUUACUGGGCGUAAAGCGCGCGCAGGCGGUUCUUCAAGUCAGAGGUGAAAGCCCAGAGCUCAACUCUGGAAUGGCCUUUGAGACUAGAGAACUAGGGUACGGGAGAGGUGAGUGGAAUUCCGAGUGUAGAGGUGAAAUUCGUAGAUAUUCGGAAGAACACCAGUGGCGAAGGCGGCUCACUGGACCGGUACUGACGCUGAUGCGCGAAAGCGUGGGGAGCAAACGGG